GAUGAACGCUGGCGGCGUGCCUAAUACAUGCAAGUAGAACGCUGAAGGAGGAGCUUGCUCUUCUGGAUGAGUUGCGAACGGGUGAGUAACGCGUAGGUAACCUGCCUGGUAGCGGGGGAUAACUAUUGGAAACGAUAGCUAAUACCGCAUGACAACAGUUAUUGCAUGAUAACUGUUUAAAAGGGGCAACUGCUCCACUACCAGAUGGGCCUGCGUUGUAUUAGCUAGUUGGUGAGGUAACGGCUCACCAAGGCGACGAUACAUAGCCGACCUGAGAGGGGGAUCGGCCACACUGGGACUGAGACACGGCCCAGACUCCUACGGGAGGCAGCAGUAGGGAAUCUUCGGCAAUGGACGGAAGUCUGACCGAGCAACGCCGCGUGAGUGAAGAAGGUUUUCGGAUCGUAAAGCUCUGUUGUAAGAGAAGAACGAGUGUGAGAGUGGAAAGUUCACACUGUGACGGUAUCUUACCAGAAAGGGACGGCUAACUACGUG
rnacentral:rRNA from 1 species